CAAAUACUCCCUCCGUCCGGAAAUACUUGUCAUCAAAAUGGAUAAAAGGAAAUGUAUCUAGACGUAUUUUAGUUUUAGAUACAUCACUUUUUAUCCAUUUUGAUGACAAGUAUUUUCGGACGGAGGGAGUAGAAA
rnacentral:pre_miRNA from 1 species